CCAGGGAGGGACCCGGGAGCUCCGGCGCCUCGCUCUCCGCAGCCAGGCAGCGCCCGGGAGGGCCGCUCCCUUCCCUUCUGCGCGGAGAAGUGCUGGAGACAAAAGUUUGCAACUCUGACACCUGCCCGCCAAAUGAAAGCUCUGGAACCCGUGGGAAGGAAAGGACUGCUGGCUGUUUCCUCAGUCUGGGGUUCAGCCCUUUCUUACGUUAGUGAGAAAUCCCGCAAGCAUGUAGGGCAAAGAUGAACUCUGGGUGGAAAGGGGUUUGAGUGUAAAGCGGUUGUGGACACACGGGAAGGGCUCAGGGAGCCUUAAAGGCGGUCAGAUGUCGUCAUCUUCCCAAAGCUACUCCUUGGAUGUGUGUGUGUCCUGUCUUCGUGCGUUUAACGACACGCCUGUCGGAAUUCUCAUCUUCAGCUUUCCCUAAAAUAAAUAAUAAUAAUAGCCCGGCCUCUUCAAAGGAGGGGGUCAUAAACUGUCUCUCUCACUACAACUUAAUUUUUAAAAGAGCUGAUAAAACCCCAGUGGAAAGGCAAUCACACGGACAAUAAAAUGACUGCAAAAGCUGGAGUCACCCAGUCCUGCUGAGAGAGCUAGUAGGAGAGCGGAGAGACGGAACCAGAGAUGCUUAAUUCAUCAAUGCUCGCUUUCUCGGCUUCAAACUUCGCUCAGAACUGCGGGUGAAACCCACUUCGCCUUGCCUUGUCCUCCCUCUGGUGGAGAAUUCUAAAGAGCAGGAAAAUCCAGAAAACGUUAGCACCCCGCUGCGGAGGACAAAAGUUAAAGGCCACCGCGGAAUGAUCGAGAAAACGUUCUCACAGUUUUAUCAGAGCUGUGGCUAACUUAGAAGGUUCUUUUACAGUGGCAGGCUCAUGUGUUGUGGUCUGGAAGAGAAUAAUCCUAGAAAAACUGUGAUUCACUGCCACUACAUCAAACAUUGGUCAUUCACAAAGCUUUUCAAGUCAUGUUUUUUACAUUAUCAGCCCUGAAUGAGUUAGAUCACCCUCCCAUUCUCAUGGCAGAGAGCAUCCUCUGGUCACCAUGCUUUGAGCACUUGGGUUGUAAAGUUCCUUCAAGAGUUUCUUCAAAAGUUUCUUCCAGAAGCAUCCAUAGUACUCGAGGGGCAACAAAGUAUUGUUGAAGAUUUUAAGUGCUGAAAUCAACCUGCCUGGCUUCACAUCUCAUUCUACCAGUUACUGGCUGUGUGGUCUUGAACAAGUUAACCAGCAUCUCUGUGCUUCAUUCACAGUAUCAAUAAAAGACAUUAACAAAAAGCACUUUCCGUCCACGGAUGCUGUGUGGGACACAAGAGACAAAGGCGAUUAGAAGAAUGCCUGCCAUAAAAUAAAUGCACAAAAAGUGUUAGCAAUUAGUCUCAGGUUCUUUCAAAAUGCAAACAAAAGCAUCGGGAAAGGAGUAAUAAAAAGCUAUAAAACACAAGAAAAAAAUGUCUCAGUACAUAAGGCGAUGGCUGUUAACUAAACGGAUUGUGGUGAUCAUUUUGCAAUAUACAAUUGUAUCAAAUCACCAUGUUGUGCAUCUAAAACAAAUACAAUGUUAUAUGUCUAUUCUCUCUCAAUAAAAUUGGAAGAAAAAAACCCCUACCACCACCACCAUCAACAAAAAGCUAUAAAAAAUUACAGCUAUUGAAGGAAAUUCAUGGAAUCAUAAAGCUAUUGUAUCAGUUUGUAUUUCAUCAGUCUAU